rnacentral:rRNA from 1 species
GAGUUUGAUCCUGGCUCAGGACGAACGCUGGCGGCGCGCCUAACACAUGCAAGUCGAACGAGCGAGAGAGAGCUUGCUUUCUCGAGCGAGUGGCGAACGGGUGAGUAACGCGUGAGGAACCUGCCUCAAAGAGGGGGACAACAGUUGGAAACGACUGCUAAUACCGCAUAAGCCCACGGCUCGGCAUCGAGCAGAGGGAAAAGGAGCAAUCCGCUUUGAGAUGGCCUCGCGUCCGAUUAGCUAGUUGGUGAGGUAAUGGCCCACCAAGGCGACGAUCGGUAGCCGGACUGAGAGGUUGAACGGCCACAUUGGGACUGAGACACGGCCCAGACUCCUACGGGAGGCAGCAGUGGGGAAUAUUGCACAAUGGGGGAAACCCUGAUGCAGCGACGCCGCGUGGAGGAAGAAGGUCUUCGGAUUGUAAACUCCUGUUGUUGAGGAAGAUAAUGACGGUACUCAACAAGGAAGUGACGGCUAACUACGUGCCAGCCGCCGCGGUAAUAC